CACGUAGGGCGCGAGCGUUGUCCGGAAUUAUUGGGCGUAAAGAGCUCGUAGGCGGCCUGUUGCGUCCGCUGUGAAAGCCCGGGGCUUAACCCCGGGUCGCAGUGGAUACGGGCAGGCUAGAGGUAGGUAGGGGAGAAUGGAAUUCCCGGUGUAGCGGUGAAAUGCGCAGAUAUCAGGAGGAACACCGAUGGCGAAGGCAGGUCUCUGGGCUGACACUGACGCUCAUGCACGAAAGCGUGGGGAGCAAACAGG
rnacentral:rRNA from 1 species